GGGAAAAGCGACCGUAGUUGUAACCAGCGGAUACCGUUACGUAAAGUAGUGAAGUGUCAGCGCUCUUUCCGCCACAGUUUUCAGUGCCCCCUCGGUUUGCAGUCGGGCUCGCAGGCCCAGGAAGGGAAAGACAUGCCCAGGACUCACAUAUACUGCAGGCCUCUUGAGAAGUAAGUGCCUGAACCCUUGUUGAUAAUGCUUCGGGAGAAAAUGUGCUGGAAACAGCCUGUGAAAAGGCAGCAAGAAGAGUGAAACACAGAGAACCAGGAACGCAGCACAGAAAAAGAGAGGAAAUGAAGCCAGAAUCCACAGAUGUCAUUAUCCAUCUGCACGCUUUUGUUUACUACCCAGAAGGCAAGAAUAUUGCAUUUUAAAAGUGUCCGGACUUUUGUUCUUUCUUAUCACAAAUGACUUGAGAAGAUCUGACCAUUCACAGUUACCCUGAGUGGAAGUGCCAAAGACAUGCUUCCUGGAGCGCUUUGAGAUUCAGGUACAAAAGGCAUUUUAUAAGCACAGAGUGAAAAAGCAUCAUUUAUAUUCAUUUGCUGCUGUGGCAUUUCUCUCUGGAAUCUUCCUCGUGUCUGUCAACAUUGUGCAAAAGGACUGGCCUCAUCUACAUUACAAAUAUCUCUCCUUUAAUGGCCUGGAAGUAGGAAAGGGACUGCAUUAGAGUGAGCUCUCAUGUUGGAGGGCCUCCCACUUGUUUAUCCCUAAAACUGGUUGGACAUGGUCGCUGUGGAUGUCAUGAAUUAUUUUGGAAAGACCUGAGUAUGAACUCAGUACGGUGCUUUGUGCAUCUUGGCUGCAGUGAAUGUGUAUUACCUGACUUCAGUGACUCAUGGGAGAAUCACAGCCAUAGGGAAGAGCUUCUGAGGGGUCAUUUAGAAUGGAGCCAUUCUGGACAGACCGUGGUCAGUUCUCUACUAGCUUCUGGAGUGGAGAAGUUUCCACCAUGAUGGCUCCUUUGACCCGUGGCAGAUCCUUUCUUGCAGGGUCCCUGCUUGGUAUGAUUUAAGAAGCAUCAAGGACUUUCUGCCCCAGAAGAUCUCAGUGUGUGACAUCACACACAUGGAUGAGGGUUUGCCAACUGUAUUAGUUAAAGUAGAGCCUGGCUUGGAGGGGCUCCCAUGCCCCUCUAGGAAUGUUCUAGAACAUGGGGCAUUACCCAAGAGACAGAGCCUGGGAUGGUGUUACUCAGGUCAAAGGUCUGAGCGUGGGGGGCCAUAUAAAUGAGUGGUGGGGCGGUGUGUACAGAUGCAGGAGAGGUGCUUGGAGAGUAGGAGUGCUGCUACCAGGAGAGAUGGUUCCCAAAGGGAGAGACCCAUAUGCCAAGCCCUUCUCUUUUUCCUCUGCCCAGGGUCCCUUCUGAAUCUGCAAAUCAACUGCUGCUUCUCCUCCUCCUUUGCCUUCUUCUUCAAAUCUUUUCAUCACAAAAAUUUCAAAUAUAUACCUAAGCAGAGAGAACAGUAAAAUGAACCCCCAUGUACCCAUCACCAUUAUCCACCUUGAAAAAUGACCAGCACCAUCCAGUCUCCUUCCACACACCCUCCCCUUCCUCAGAUGAUUAUUGAAAUUAGCUCAUACUUUUUUUUUUUAAUAAAUUUAUUUGUUUAUUUUUGGC